GCAGCCUGGUCUAGUGGAAGAUGUCCUUGCCCAUGGCAGAGGGGGCUGGAACAAGAUGACCUCUCAGGGUCACUUCCAACUCAUUCUAUGCUUCUGUGAUGAGUACUUGAGAAUCCUUUGAAAGAGUUUAGCUGGUUUGUCUUUCACACCCUUCUCACUUCUUUUUUCUGAACUGUUGCAGCCUUCCCUCCCUGUCAGGACAAGGAGCCUAGAGAGAACUGCCUCCUCUGGAAACUGGGCACUCCAAACAAACAGCCACCAAAGUGGCAGUCCAGCUGCUGGGACAUGCCCAUGACUGAGCUUUGGUUCAACAGAGACACAGGCAGCAGCUGAAGUGUCUGGUGAAGUUCCUGACAGGACAGAUUCCCAAGGGCUGGGAGGCACAAAAAUGAAAUGGGAGACUGCUCUCUGGAUGAUUGCCUGCUCACUGCUUGCCUCUCUGCCCAGAGGUAAAUAUUCCAUAGUGCACACCUAGGAAUUUGCAGAGGCAUUUACAGAAGCUGCAAGCAGAAUCUUGGAGCAAAGCAGAACAAU
rnacentral:lncRNA from 1 species